rnacentral:rRNA from 1 species
GACGAACGCUGGCGGCGUGCUUAACACAUGCAAGUCGAACGGAAAGGCCCUGCUUUUGUGGGGUGCUCGAGUGGCGAACGGGGGAGUAACACGUGAGUAACCUGCCCUUGACUUUGGGAUAACUUCAGGAAACUGGGGCUAAUACCGGAUAGGAGCUCCUGCUGCACGGGGGGGGUUGGAAAGUUUCGGCGGUUGGGGAUGGACUCGCGGCUUAUCAGCUUGUUGGUGGGGUAGUGGCUUACCAAGGCUUUGACGGGUAGCCGGCCUGAGAGGGUGACCGGCCACCUUGGGACUGAGAUACGGCCCAGUCUCCUACGGGAGGCAGCAGUGGGGAAUAUUGCACAAUGGGCGGAAGCCUGAUGCAGCAACGCCGCGUGCGGGAUGACGGCCUUCGGGUUGUAAACCGCUUUCGCCUGUGACGAAGCGUGAGUGACGGUAAUGGGUAAAGAAGCACCGGCUAACUACGUG